GAUGGGAGGAUUCGACUUAUUGCCAUGUUUACUUAGAAUUCAGCGUAUUAGGGCAGUCAGAAAUGCUGCUUCUGCAGUACAUGAUGAAGUACGAAGUGGAAUGUCAACUGUAUAUCUACUGGGUACUGACUACUUGGUUGGAACUUGGUUACUUGGACUGUGAAGGUACGGUGAUUUGCAAUUAUUCAUCACUUGAAGUCUUAGCUGACACCAACGCGAGUCCAUUUUCUGGCGCUUUUUCUUGUCACUUGUUGGCUUGUGGCCUGCUGGUCCAUGCAUUCUCUGAUUUCACCAAGGACAUUUGCAAUUUCACUGUUGUUGCAUUAUAUGGUACUUAUGAUACACUGCAUCCCGAGACCAUUGAACAGUGUAGAGCUAGUACAGGAGAGAAACACGGAUCUGAGUCUUCACUUCUUGUAGUCAACCAGGCAUUCUCUGCCGUGGUACAUGCUGUUGGUCGAGCAACCAAUGGUUAUGUCCAGACCUUGAGGCAGUACAAAACUGGAGGUCAUCCUGAUAACUAGAUGGGCCAAU
rnacentral:lncRNA from 1 species